UUCAUCACACAUUCGUCAUGUGUUUCUGAGCACGUAUAUCUUUCUUUAGAGCCUGUGAUAUGACCUUGCAGGGCCGUUUGGCUUGCUUAACACGGGAGUCAAGAUUUCCUAGGCGAUUCCACCAAAGGAUCAAGAAACUGGAGGAACAACCCUUUCAGCUUUGGGUGUAUUCCCAAAUGAAACCUUCCACUGCUUCUCCACAGGCCAUGCUGUCUGCUUCCUACUUAGGACUUUCAAUCUUGCUGAUAUUGAGAGGGAUCAAUGGAGAUUCAGUGACCCAGACAGAAGGUUCUGUUACCCUCUUUGAGGGGACACCUUUGACCCUGAAUUGCACUUACCAGAGUAGCUACACAGUUUUUGUUUUCUGGUAUGUCCAGUACCAAAACAAAGCUCCUCAAUUGCUCCUGAAAGGCUUAUCAGAAAACCAGAGGGCAGAGCAUCACGGUUUUCACGCCAGUCUUGUUAAGAGUGACAGCUCCUUCCACCUGCAGAAACGCUCUGUGAGAAUGUCAGACUCUGCUGUGUACUACUGCGUCCUAGGAGGCACAGCGAGAUCGCCUGCAGGGGGAGCCGAGCACAAACCCAGAGGGGCGCAGGAGGGCCCUGGAUGUGAGCAGCCUGGGAGGGGAGAAUGAUGAUUUCUCUCUAGUUAGAGUCUUGUGCUGGGCGCGGCCCCCAGGGAACAGAUACCUGAUGCCUCCGCCCUCAGGCACCCCGAGUUUUACUUCGAGCUAGGAAUGGAAGGAGGCAAUGUAGGUGAAAACUUAGAUUAUAAUUAUGCCUAUACAUAGAAUCCUAUAGUCAAUGGCCUUUUGUGUCUGGUUUCUUUCACACAGCAUCACCUUUUCAAGGUGUAUCCAUGUAUCAGUACUUUAGUACUUCUGUGGCUGCGCAAUAAUCCAUUGUAUGGAUACCCUAUAUUUUCUUUGUCCAUUCAUCAGUUGAUGGGCAUUUUGGUUGUUUCCACUUUUUGUGAAAACACUCAUGUACAGAAGCUCUGCUCUUUCAAACUUGAAUAUAUUUUAAGUUAGAGAUUUCUGGGUAUUUUUUCGUUUUGUUUUUUGCUUUAUU